AGGCAUGCACCACCGCACCCAGCUAAUUUUUAAUUUUUCAGAGAUGGAGCUCGCUGUGUUGCCUAGGCUGGUCUUGAAUUCCUGGUUUCAAGCAAUCCUCCCACUGCAGCCUUCCAAAGUGCUGGGCGUACAAGCAUAAGCUACUGUGCCCAGCUGUCAGAUACUAAGCCUUACUUAUGCCCCAAACUCCAGCCCACAGAUACUCUUCACCAAAGCCCCUGGCUGCUCUAGCCCAUCAUGACUUCUCUAGGAACAGUCCUUCAUUAGGACUAUAAAGUAUUGACAAAAGUCUGUAGAUUAAGGGGCCUGCAUAAAAUUCUGGCUAUAGGCCCCUUUCUUUCCCAAGUUCCUCUCAAACAUUCCUUGGGGUCCUCAUAUGUUUUUGAAGCAGCUUCACUCUGCACAGGCAGCAGGAGGUUGGGGGAGCCAUAGCUCUGGGCUAUGGGGGCAGAUUUAUUUGGAUGAUAGGACUAAUAUUUGUGUAACCUGCUGAGACCUGUGUGGGAGAGUUUAGGGUGGAUUUUCUUUUGGUGAGGGGAUUUGCUCUGGUUUCACAUCCAUUAACACAAAACAUGAGCUAGUCAGGGCCCUUGUGGUCUGCGGAGAGGGGAUGGCUGUGGAGAAAUGGGCCUGAGUGAGUCAGGCUGAGAGAAUGUCUUCCUUCAGAGUGGAGUUAACUGGAUAACCGAUGAGCCAAUCGUGGGAUUAAGGGGGGGAAAUGGGAGGGGAAGAGAAGAGCUAACAUCUUGAGGAAAGCUCUGGGGUAGUGGAGAGGUAAGGGGAUCAUGGUCAGUCUGAAUGUAACAGUAGGGCUGAAUGAACUUACCAAAGGAGGCUGCCUUAUAUUAUAUGCCAGGCUGCUGGGGAAAGGCUCAGGUCCUAGCCAGCCCCUGU